rnacentral:rRNA from 1 species
UACGGAGGAUCCAAGCGUUAUCCGGAUUUAUUGGGUUUAAAGGGUGCGUAGGCGGCAUGUUAAGUUAGAGGUGAAAUCCCGGUGCUCAACCCCGGAACUGCCUCUGAUACUGGCAUACUAGAGAUUGGUUGCUGUGGGCGGAAUGUGUAGUGUAGCGGUGAAAUGCUUAGAGAUUACACAGAACACCGAUUGCGAAGGCAGCUCACAAAGCCACAUCUGACGCUGAGGCACGAAAGCGUGGGGAGCAAACAGG